rnacentral:SRP_RNA from 1 species
UAGGCACCAAGGAACGGCAGAUACUUGCUGAACCCCGCCAGGAUCGAAAGAUAGCAACGGUAGGUGAGUUCCUCUGGGUGUUCUGAGGUGCCCCAAC